rnacentral:rRNA from 1 species
AUUGAACGCUGGCGGCACGCCUUACACAUGCAAGUCGAACGGCAGCACGGGAGCAAUCCUGGUGGCGAGUGGCGAACGGGUGAGUAAUGUAUCGGAACGUGCCCAGUCGUGGGGGAUAACGCAGCGAAAGCUGUGCUAAUACCGCAUACGAUCUAUGGAUGAAAGCGGGGGAUCGCAAGACCUCGCGCGAGUGGAGCGGCCGAUAUCAGAUUAGCUAGUUGGUGGGGUAAAAGCUUACCAAGGCGACGAUCUGUAGCUGGUCUGAGAGGACGACCAGCCACACUGGAACUGAGACACGGUCCAGACUCCUACGGGAGGCAGCAGUGGGGAAUUUUGGACAAUGGGCGCAAGCCUGAUCCAGCAAUGCCGCGUGCAGGAUGAAGGCCUUCGGGUUGUAAACUGCUUUUGUACGGAGCGAAAAGGCUUUCUCUAAUACAGGGGGCUCAUGACGGUACCGUAAGAAUAAGCACCGGCUAACUACGUGCCAGCCGCCGCGGUAAUAC